CAAUUAGGCUGAUUCCUCAUUGCAAGAAUCUCUUGCGGCCUCUGCUAUUGUCAGUUUUCUUCCGCUGUUUCUUCAUUUUUCGAACUUGAUUAAAGGGGCCUGUAUUAUUUAAUCUAGGAGUUAUUUCAAUGUUGAAUUUGUUUGUGAUACUCUGUCCACCAUGUGGAUAAGAAUUUGUGACAUUUACUUACAGAGGGAAUGCAUUUUCCAUUUAAAUACCUUAAAUGUUGAAUUUGUUUAUGAUACUCUGUCCACCAUGUGGAUAAGAAUACGUGACAUUUACUUACAGAGGGAAUGGAUUUUCCAUUUAAAUACCUAAAAUGUCAAACCAGGUGUGGUUCCUGAUAACUUUUCUGUUAUUCUUAUUUGUCCUUCC
rnacentral:lncRNA from 1 species